rnacentral:pre_miRNA from 1 species
AAUAGAUGAUGCCGUUGACUUUUUCUCACACGUUUGAUCAUUCGUCUUAUUCAAAAAAUUUACGUAAUUAUAAUUUAUUUUGUUAGGAGUUGUUUUAUCAUUCAUAAUACUUUAAGUGUGAUUUAUAUCUUAUACAUUUGCAUAAAAAAUUUUAAUAAGACGAAUGGUCAAACAUGUGAGAAAAGUCAACGGCGUCAUCUAUU